rnacentral:rRNA from 1 species
GAUGAACGCUGGCGGCGUGCCUAAUACAUGCAAGUCGAGCGAAUGGAUUAAGAGCUUGCUCUUAUGAAGUUAGCGGCGGACGGGUGAGUAACACGUGGGUAACCUGCCCAUAAGACUGGGAUAACUCCGGGAAACCGGGGCUAAUACCGGAUAACAUUUUGAACCGCAUGGUUCGAAAUUGAAAGGCGGCUUCGGCUGUCACUUAGUGAUGGACCCGCGUCGCAUUAGCUAGUUGGGGAGGUAACGGCUCACCAAGGCAACGAUGCGUAGCCGACCUGAGAGGCUGAUCGGCCACACUGGGACUGAGACACGGCCCAGACUCCUACGGGAGGCAGCAGUAGGGAAUCUUCCGCAAUGGACGAAAGUCUGACGGAGCAACGCCGCGUGAGUGAUGAAGGCUUUCGGGUCGUAAAACUCUGUUGUUAGGGAAGAACAAGUGCUAGUUGAAUAAGCUGGCACCUUGACGGUACCUAACCAGAAAGCCACGGCUAACUACGUGCCAGCCGCCGCCGUAA